rnacentral:tRNA from 1 species
UCCCUGGUGGUCCAGUGACUGAGGCUCUGCACUCCCAACGCAGGGGGACCAGGUUCAAUCCCUGGUUAGGGAA